rnacentral:lncRNA from 1 species
GGCUUUCCUCCUUACACUGCCCAUCAGGAAGCAAAUCAACAUCAGGUGUCCAUUAGGUAACCAGCUGGACAGGAAAUUUCCUCACCCCAACACUGACUGGCCACUUUGUCUGAAGGUCUCGUUCUUCUAAUAUAUAUGCUUUAUCCAGACACACACAUACACACACAAUCUGUCCAUUUAAUGCCACUUCAGGUUGGAACUCUUUUGAGCACUAAUGACAGUAAUCAGAAGUCUUGUUUAACCAGCUGAGCCCUUCCUUCACUGUGCUUACACUCAUUUUAUUCCUUUUUCUUUCUCUUACCCUGGCUCCUGGCUGGCAUGCUAGAGACUGGAGAGGUAAAUAAAAUUAUGCAUGUGCAUGUUCUGAUGGGAUGGCUGCUGGUGGGAAGGGGGUGAGUCAGCCCUGUGCACCUCGUGUGCCCUCGUGGCCCCCAAGACCACCAUGCCUGAAAUGCCCUUGGCCACACUUCAGCACAUUUCAACUCAAGCUCUUCCAGGUACACCCACUCUUGCCCCCUUUGUCUCUCCCACACCUAAC